rnacentral:rRNA from 1 species
GGWAACCCUGACGCAGCGACGCCGCGUGCGGGAAGAAGGCCUUUGGGUCGUAAACCGCUGUCAGGAGGGAAGAAACUGUUAGGGUAUAAUACGCCCUUUCACUGACGGUACCUCCAAAGGAAGCACCGGCUAACUCCGUCCCAGCAGCCGCGGUAAUACGGAGGGUGCGAGYGUUAAUCGGAAUCACUGGGCGUAAAGCGCACGUAGGCGGCGCAUCAAGUCAGGCGUGAAAGCCCUCGGCUCAACCGGGGAAUUGCGUUUGAAACUGGUGUGCUGGAGUCUMGGAGAGGUUGGCGGAAUUCCAGGUGUAGGAGUGAAAUCCGUAGAUAUSUGGAGGAACACCGGUGGCGAAGGCGGCCAACUGGACGAGUACUGACGCUGAGGUGCGAAAGCGUGGGGACCAAACAGGAUUAGAUACCCUGGUAGUCC